AGCCGCGGUAAUUCCAGCUCCAAUAGCGUAUAUUAAAGUUGUUGCAGUUAAAAAGCUCGUAGUUGAAUUUCGGGGUUAGUAGGUUGGUCAUGCCUCUGGUAUGUACUGGUCUCACUGAUUCCUCCUUCCUGAUGAGCCGUAAUGCCAUUAAUUUGGUGUUGCGGGGAAUUUGGACUGUUACUUUGAAAAAAUUAGAGUGUUUAAAGCAAGCUAACGCUUGAAUACAUUAGCAUGGAAUAAUGAAAUAGGACGUUCGAUCCUAUUUUGUUGGUUUCUAGGAUUGACGUAAUGAUUAAUAGGGAUAGUUGGGGGCAUUAGUAUUCAAUUGUCAGAGGUGAAAUUCUUGGAUUUAUUGAAGACUAACUACUGCGAAAGCAUUUGCCAAGGAUGUUUUCAUUAAUCAAGAACGAAAGUUAGGGGAUCGAAGACGAUCAGAUACCGUCGUAGUCUUAACCAUAAACUAUGCCGACUAGGGAUCGGAUGAUGUUAAUUUUUUAAUGACUCA
rnacentral:rRNA from 1 species